GCACUCACUUGGCAGCCCGCGUACUAACACUGGAACAAUACAGAGAAGAGUAGCACGGCUCCCGCGCAAGGAUGACACGCAAAUUCGAGAUGUGGCCACCCCAUCA
ensembl:snRNA U6 U6 spliceosomal RNA